UCAACGCCGGCGGCGUGCCUAACACAUGCAGGUCGUACGCGAAAGUCCCGCAAGGGAUGAGUAGAGUGGCAGACGGGUGAGUAACACGUGGGUGACCUACCUUCGAGUGGGGGAUAACGUCUCGAAAGGGACGCCAAUACCGCAUAACAUCCUGUUUUUGAAGGAACGAAGAUCAAAGCCGGGGAUCGCAAGACCUGGCGCUUGAAGAGGGGCCCGCGCCCGAUUAGCUAGUUGGUGGGGUAACGGCUCACCAAGGCAACGAUCGGUAGCCGGCCUGAGAGGGCGGCCGGCCACACUGGGACUGAGACACGGCCCAGACUCCUACGGGAGGCAGCAGUGGGGAAUUGUUCGCAAUGGGCGCAAGCCUGACGACGCAACGCCGCGUGGAGGAUGAAGAUCUUCGGGUCGUAAACUCCUUUCGAUCGAGACGAACGGCCUUCGGGGAAAUACUCCGGAGGAGUGACGGUACCGAGAGAAGAAGCCCCGGCUAACUCCGUGCCAGCCGCUGC
rnacentral:rRNA from 1 species